AGGGCCCACCAUAAUGAUCUCAUCUUCAUUUGAUUAUGUCUGCAAAGAUUCCCUUUCCAAAUAAGAUCAGAUUCACCAGAACGGGAGGUUACGACUUCAACAUGUCUGUUUAAGGUACACAAUUUAACCCAUAACAUGAUGGUAACAAAGUCCUGUUACUACUUGCCCCAGUGUACUGCAUGAUCCUGUGGUUUUCAUGGAUCUGAUCUGCAUUCCUACAAAUAAUUCCUUUACUAAACUUUCCUCAAGUUCCACUUCCACUUAGGAUAUAGAAAGCCCAACAGAAUAUUGAUCCCACCCCCCAAUAAUGAGAAAAAGCCAAAGAACCUAUUCUUGAGCCCAUCAGAGAGCUGAGAACACAAAGCAACCAAGUGAAGUAAGUUCCAGUGAGUCAUAGACCCCUCUAAGGAGAGAUGGAGCACACAAACUAUUUCUCUUUUGGCAGAGCACAAAAGGAAAAGGCAGGUGCCAUAAAAGCAGGUAAAAAGAAAACAGCUACAAUUUUAACAAAUUCUUAAGGUCAAGUGUAGGUUAAUGACACAAUGUGCAAUCCCUAGACUCCUUAUAUACAGGCAGUAUCUACACCCACUCACCAGUUAUUUUUCUUAAACCUUUACCAGGUACUCUUGAGAAGGAUUUCAGACAGGAUAGGAAACUUGAGUGAGUCUCUUCAAUGGUGCCAACAUUCUAGUCAUGAACAUCUGCUGCUGCGGUGGAACAAGCACAAGGUCUCGCCCACUUCUUUUACAUGAAGCAAAAGUCUAAAGCUGCUGGAGAGAAGGCAAGAAAACCUCCCGCUUUCAGAGCCCUGGCAAAGAUCCCUGCUUCUCAAGGAGAAAGAAAGCACAGACUCUCGCUCUGUUGCCCAGGCUGGAUUGCAGUAGCACAAUCAUUGCUCACUAUAAUCUCAAACUUCUGGACUCAAGUGACUCUCCCAUCUCAGCAUCCCAAGUAGCUGGGACUACACGUACAUGCCACCAUACCUGGGUAAUUUUUUAAAAAUUUUUUGUAGAGAAGGGGUCCUGCUAUGUUGCCCAGACUGGUCUUGAACUCUUGGCCUCAAGUGACCCUCCCACCUCAGCUUCCCAGAGCACUCAGUUUACAGAAAUGAGCCACCACUCCUGGCUGAAAGGCAUUUUUAACUACAGCAUUAAAAUACAUAACACAAAAUUAAGGUAGUAAAAAUAAAUGGUUUUAAUGUAUAGAGAUAUUUAUCGCAAUAUUUCUAUAAGGGCUAUAUUCCUUUAAAUCUAAAUUUUAUAUUAAUCAUUUAUAAUUACUCAUUAACCUUUUAUAGGGGAAAAAUUAAGUGAGUAGAUUUUAUGGGAAUGUAGCUCUGUUUCACAUUAGGGAAUUGUCUUAGACAACAUUUCACCAAGUUAUUAAAAGGACUUCUGUGAGCAGAGCAUUUCGUGGUAAGACAUGCUUGAGAAACUCUGGGUUAUACAAGGUAAACCAGUCUCUCUUCUGCAGGAAUUUCACUUUGCUGGACAUGGAGAUUGCCGAUGGGGUCUAAGAGUGCCCUGCUUCUGCCAAGCUUGUUUAAAUAGCACUAUUCCAAGGACAUUCCAUGGAACGUAAGUGUACUAAAUGCCAAUGUGAGAAGCUGAUCAAAGCCCCAAUUUUUGAACUGUGUCUGCCCGUGAAGUCCUGAAGUUCCAUGGCUGUGCCUCAAGGCUACUCAAGAAAGGGAGGGAGGAGAUGAAAAUGGGGAGUCCCUGAGCCAACAGAGCUCUGAGCCUUUCAUUCCUGUGGUUAGCCAGAGUCCUUUUACAUCUAUAUUUAUCUACUCAUUUCACAUCUUUAUAUUUAUAUAUUCAUUUUAUGUCUAUAUUUGUAUGCUGGGUUUCCAGGUAAGAUUUCAGUUGUCUAAAAACUCAGCUCUUUUUAAAAAAAAAAAAAAAGUGCAAACACCUCAUCUAGAAUCAGUGCAUCCACAUAGACAUAAGUCUAAGGCAGCAGUUCUAUGAAGACAAUUGUGGAUCCAGGUUCACCCCUAAUAUUGGCAUUGCCUUGGCCAAGAGUACAAAUGGAGGCCCAUGUAGAUUAUACAUCUAAUGUAUGAGUUAUAUAUCAAGCUAGCAUCACUAGUUAAAACAUUGCUACUUCUACCUUGACAAAUAUACCCGAAUUCAGAAUCCGUAGACUUCCAGAAAUCUACUCCUGAAAAAUGGUCUCUUCCCACCUCCAGUUCCUACCACAAGUAGCCCAGUGUACAACCAAGAACAUAAGUUAAAGCUUCACCCAUGGUCCUUGAAACAGGCAAUGAUUUGGCCAUAACUUGGCUCAAGUGGGCACACACAGUCAGCAUACUUCACUCUAGAGAGGAAAGGCCUCAGAAAGAGGGCCACAGGCCUUGGAAUUUUAAUUGUGACCAUUUGAGCAGAGAAUUCUGAGGUCUCAAGUAUCAGGAAUAUGUUCCAGGAGGAGGAUAUAUGGGGUCCAGAUGGUUUUGUGCUCUUAUCCCAAGGACUUCUCGCUUAAUGGGGAUGGAAAGGAACAAAGAACGAUGAGAGUGGAGCUCUCUAAAGCGUGGGGCUCAAAGCAAGUGGUCUUCUUGCCAGGAUUUAGGGCAGUACUAGUGGGAAUACCAAUUGCAAGACAUCAGGCAGAAAAGGAAAGAUGAAGUUGUCCUAUGGGGCCAGCUUGCAAAAACCCAAGCAUGACCGUGAUUGCAAACACUGUGGUGCCAGUCUCAGUGCACCUGAGCUUUCUUUUUUCUGAUGAGAAAACCCAAAGAGUUUUAUUUAGCUUUCUGAACUAAUCUUAUAAGAAAAUAAAAUUCCAGCCUCAACUGUUGAAAUUUUUAUUUAGGAGAAAACUAAAUAGAGAAAUUCGAGAUUAAAUUCAUAAACAGGUAUAUUAGUAACAAACCACUUUGUAGGAAUUAGUGAGAGAUGAUGAGUCAUAAAAACAAAUUUCAAGCAAACAUUUGUCCAUUAAACAAGCAUCAUUAGCAUCUAUAUUAUAGGCACUAGUGAUAUGCCAGUGAAUAAUUCAAAGUUCUUGCCCUUGAGGAACUUAAUUCUUUUAGGAUCAGCACAUACACAUGCACUCACACACCACACACACUUCACACACACACUUGAAUAGUGAUAAAUUCUA
ensembl:lncRNA